rnacentral:rRNA from 1 species
AGCGGCGGACGGGUGAGUAAUGCCUGGGAAUAUGCCCUGAUGUGGGGGAUAACUAUUGGAAACGAUAGCUAAUACCGCAUAAUCUCUUCGGAGCAAAGAGGGGGACCUUCGGGCCUCUCGCGUCAGGAUUAGCCCAGGUGGGAUUAGCUUGUUGGUGAGGUAAUGGCUCACCAAGGCAACGAUCCCUAGCUGGUCUGAGAGGAUGAUCAGCCACACUGGAACUGAGACACGGUCCAGACUCCUACGGGAGGCAGCAGUGGGGAAUAUUGCACAAUGGGGGAAACCCUGAUGCAGCCAUGCCGCGUGUGUGAAGAAGGCCUUCGGGUUGUAAAGCACUUUCAGUAGGGAGGAAGGUAGUGUAGUUAACACCUGCACUAUUUGACGUUACCUACAGAAGAAGCACCGGCUAACUCCGUGCCAGCAGCCGCGGUAAUACGGAGGGUGCGAGCGUUAAUCGGAAUUACUGGGCGUAAAGCGCAUGCAGGCGGCCUGUUAAGUCAGAUGUGAGAGCCCGGGGCUUAACCUCGGAAUUGCAUUUGAAACUGGCAGG